UGCUCUGGUAGUCUAGUGGUUAGAGCAUCCACCUUAGAUGCAGGAGGUCAUGGGUUCGAACCCUGGCUGAGUCA